AGAUUUCAUAUACUGAUAGAUAUUUGAAGAGAUGUUCUGUCAUCACACUCUGAUAAAUUCGUGGACACAUUUGUCACUAUUUACUGAUGAAUUCCUGGACGGAAAAGUUAUGCUCUGCCUGCAUUCUCGUGCAUUCUGGGUGGGAGGUACGUGACCAGUACUGGAAGACUUCAGAUUAAAAAGGUUGAUAAUUCUUGUUUAAGCAUUGUGUUUGACUUGUUUUGUCAUUCAUUAUCUGAUAUUAAUUAAUGAUCUUGUUCUAACGUAUUAUCCUCUUGGCUGUUGCUGUUGACUCGCACAUUUAUCAACGCCUUUCUUGUCAAGAGAUAAUUUUCAAGCGAAUUGCACCAAACACACAGAUGCAACGCUCCUUUCUUGCAGCCUGGACGCCUAUUUCUUCACACAUACGAAACCUUUCAUCGUUCCUUAAAAUCUUAGUGGUGCUUGAACCUAUAGUUUAUUCAAGUACCGAACGGCUUCGAAACAGACAACCGAGACAGUGCAACUUUGUAGCCAGCCAGUGUCGGCGGGUGUGCUGUGUAGUGUGCGCGGGUGUUGUUUUCAUGAAAAUUUGUGAUCAAAACGAAGCAGGAUUGCUGGUCUGUCUUCAAGAGCCUGGCAGACGUACCAUGCGAGAAAAAAAAAAAAAAACAAGAAGGGAGCGAGGUUGUCCGAACUCUGGUCUUCUCCACGGGGGCAACGGUAAGUUCUCCGUAGAUUUUGUCACGGCAUGUCUUACUAGUCACGCAGUCACAAAGCCACAAGGCAUCGUGAAAGCGCCCCAGCUGCAGCGCUCCUCUGCCUCCAUGGUUGUGCUGCGCGACCAAUAAAACCGGCGUUGUAUAUCACUUUGCCUGUCCAGUACCUUCAUAAUAUUAGUUUAUAGGAAGUUUAUCUAUGACUGAUGAGGGAUAUGGAUACGGAUACAAGAACUCAAAACGCCAGGUAAUGAUAUGACUGAUAGUAACAGUUUGUCAUUCAUUACUUCAUCUGAGCAACCUUGGACGACUCUUACAAACAAAACAAAAACUAUAAGCGCAAAACCCCGUGCCCGCUCACUCCUCCUGAUGACUUAGAAAACUUUACUCUCCACCUACAGCAAUCCAUUGUGAUCAGCACUGCAAGAUGCCUCACCAGCCACAGGUUUAACCCUUUGACUGCCACUUGGUACACCUUUCUCUAAUUGCUAAUCACUCUGAGACAUUUUCACCUGUUCUACAUCCAGUCUUUGAAUUGGGAAGGAAUUGCAAAAUAUAUUCUUUUUUUCUUUUUCAUCGUAAACUUUCUUAUAGAUAGUUAUAAAGAUUUCACACAUUGCUUCUGGUGCUGCUAAUUGUUUCGUGUCGCAGUGAAAGGGUUAACGAAUCUACAUGCAAAGAUACACUCGAUUCUUUUAGAGCAUCGGUGAACAAUAACUAAAAGCAGUAAAUGUACUGCAAAAACUCUCUUGUAUAGUGAAGUUCAAAGGCGCGACGCCCUUGUUGGCCUGCACGUCUCGCCACACAGGUUAAUUGCCCUAAUCAGAACAGGUAAUUGCAAGGAUUAGGUCUCCAAA